CAGUCGCCACGGGAAUACGUAGGGGGCAAGCGUUAUCCGGAAUUACUGGGUGUAAAGGGAGCGUAGACGGUUAAACAAGUCUGAAGUGAAAUGCCGGGGCUCAACCCCGGAGCUGCUUUGGGAACUGUAGAACUGGAGUGUCGGAGGGGCAAGCGGAAUUCCCAGUGUAGCGGUGAAAUGCGUAGAUAUUGGGAGGAACACCGGCGGCGAAGGCGGCUUACUGGACGACAACUGACGUUGAGGCUCGAAGGCGUGGGUAGCAAACAGGAUUAGAUACCCCCGUAGUCCCUGUCUCUUAUAU
rnacentral:rRNA from 1 species